rnacentral:rRNA from 1 species
CGAGCGGUAACACAGAGGAGCUUGCUCCUUGGGUGACGAGCGGCGGACGGGUGAGUAAUGCCUGGGGAUCUGCCCGAUAGAGGGGGAUAACUACGGGAAACUGUAGCUAAUACCGCAUAAUGUCUACGGACCAAAGUGGGGGCUCUUCGGACCUCAUGCUAUCGGAUGAACCCAGGUGGGAUUAGCUAGUUGGUGAGGUAAUGGCUCACCAAGGCGACGAUCUCUAACUGGUUUGAGAGAAUGACCAGUCACACUGGAACUGAGACACGGUCCAGACUCCUACGGGAGGCAGUAGUGGGGAAUAUUGCACAAUGGGCGCAAGCCUGAUGCAGCCAUGCCGCGUGUGUGAAGAAGGCCUUCGGGUUGUAAAGCACUUUCAGCGGGGAGGAAGGGUCACUAGUUAAUACCUAUUGGCAUUGACGUUACUCGCAGAAGAAGCACCGGCUAACUCCGUGCCAUCCGCCGCGGUAAUACGGAGGGUGCUAGCGUUAAUCGGAAUUACUGGCCGCAAAGCG